GAUGAACGCUGGCGGCGUGCCUAAUACAUGCAAGUCGAGCGAACGGACGAGAAGCUUGCUUCUCUGAUGUUAGCGGCGGACGGGUGAGUAACACGUGGAUAACCUACCUAUAAGACUGGGAUAACUUCGGGAAACCGGAGCUAAUACCGGAUAAUAUUUUGAACCGCAUGGUUCAAAAGUGAAAGACGGUCUUGCUGUCACUUAUAGAUGGAUCCGCGCUGCAUUAGCUAGUUGGCAAGGUAACGGCUUACCAAGGCAACGAUGCAUAGCCGACCUGAGAGGGUGAUCGGCCACACUGGAACUGAGACACGGUCCAGACUCCUACGGGAGGCAGCAGUAGGGAAUCUUCCGCAAUGGGCGAAAGCCUAACGGAGCAACGCCGCGUGAGUGAUGAAGGUCUUCGGAUCGUAAAACUCUGUUAUUAGGGAAGAACAUAUGUGUAAGUAACUGUGCACAUCUUGACGGUACCUAAUCAGAAAGCCACGGCUAACUACGUGCCAGCAGCCGCGGUAAUACGUAGGUGGCAAGCGUUAUCCGGAAUUAUUGGGCGUAAAGCGCGCGUAGGCGGUUUUUUUAAGUCUGAUGUGAAAGCCCACGGCUCAACCGUGGAGGGUCAUUGGAAACUGGAAAACUUGAGUGCAGAAGAGGAAAGUGGAAUUCCAUGUGUAGCGGUGAAAUGCGCAGAGAUAUGGAGGAACACCAGUGGCGAAGGCGACUUUCUGGUCUGUAACUGACGCUGAUGUGCGAAAGCGUGGGGAUCAAACAGGAUUAGAUACCCUGGUAGUCCACGCCGUAAACGAUGAGUGCUAAGUGUUAGGGGGUUUCCGCCCCUUAGUGCUGCAGCUAACGCAUUAAGCACUCCGCCUGGGGAGUACGACCGCAAGGUUGAAACUCAAAGGAAUUGACGGGGACCCGCACAAGCGGUGGAGCAUGUGGUUUAAUUCGAAGCAACGCGAAGAACCUUACCAAAUCUUGACAUCCUUUGACAACUCUAGAGAUAGAGCUUUCCCCUUCGGGGGACAAAGUGACAGGUGGUGCAUGGUUGUCGUCAGCUCGUGUCGUGAGAUGUUGGGUUAAGUCCCGCAACGAGCGCAACCCUUAAGCUUAGUUGCCAUCAUUAAGUUGGGCACUCUAAGUUGACUGCCGGUGACAAACCGGAGGAAGGUGGGGAUGACGUCAAAUCAUCAUGCCCCUUAUGAUUUGGGCUACACACGUGCUACAAUGGACAAUACAAAGGGCAGCGAAACCGCGAGGUCAAGCAAAUCCCAUAAAGUUGUUCUCAGUUCGGAUUGUAGUCUGCAACUCGACUACAUGAAGCUGGAAUCGCUAGUAAUCGUAGAUCAGCAUGCUACGGUGAAUACGUUCCCGGGUCU
rnacentral:rRNA from 1 species